rnacentral:rRNA from 1 species
GAUGAACGCUGGCGGCGUGCCUAAUACAUGCAAGUCGAGCGAACGGACGAGAAGCUUGCUUCUCUGAUGUUAGCGGCGGACGGGUGAGUAACACGUGGAUAACCUACCUAUAAGACUGGGAUAACUUCGGGAAACCGGAGCUAAUACCGGAUAAUAUUUUGAACCGCAUGGUUCAAAAGUGAAAGACGGUCUUGCUGUCACUUAUAGAUGGAUCAGCGCUGCAUUAGCUAGUUGGUAAGGUAACGGCUUAUCAAGGCAACGAUGCAUAGCCGACCUGAGAGGGUGAUCGGCCACACUGGAACUGAGACACGGUCCAGACUCCUACGGGAGGCAGCAGUAGGGAAUCUUCCGCAAUGGGCGAAAGCCUGACGGAGCAACGCCGCGUGAGUGAUGAAGGUCUUCGGAUCGUAAAACUCUGUUAUUAGGGAAGAACAUAUGUGUAAGUAACUGUGCACAUCUUGACGGUACCUAAUCAGAAAGCCACGGCUAACUACGUG